rnacentral:lncRNA from 1 species
GCUGUGAUGCUCAGUGUCACCACAUCAGCACACACAGCCAGAAGCCUGGCCCAGGCAGCUGCAGCAAGAAAUCCCCAGAGUGGUGAGACAUCCUCAUUGCAAAGCCAUCCUCUGCAGCAGCUGCCAACAGCUCAGCCCCUUGUGGAUGCACAGCAGAAAGGGAUUAUAUUUCUUUGCCCCACUGCAAGGCUGAGGAUUAAUCCUAACACUGAUAUAAAAAACCUGCAAAUUGGCAUUUGGAGGAGAAGAAGGGGUGAGGCCAAGGAUAGAUUUUCUCACUGCACCUGCUUUGGGUGUCUGGCCAUGGGCACAAGCACCCCAGAGCGAGCUGUUGUGUUUGAUCCACUGGUUUGUGAGCUUUCCCUUGCACAGCUGCAGAAAGAAACCCUGGAAAUUUUUUGUGUCUUGGAAAUCUCCAGACGUGUGUUGAGAGGCAGGAUAGAAAUGUGUUUGAGCUCACACCCAGCAAAGCCCCAACACCAGCAUUGUGUCAAUGGGACGGGAAAACCCAGCCCUAGACUCUGCCUGGAUGCAACAAGGAUUCAACUGGACAAUCAAGAAGCCAAACAGGAGGUUUGACAGUGUACAAGAAUGAAAAACAAAAAAUUCCCAACAAACCCAGACACAUACGAAAGAAAAUCCAAUUUUAUUAUUUUUUUCUAAUGAAUGCCGGUGGGGUUGCUCUUUUUGGUACUUUGGGCAUUUACAUAUAAAUUGCUCUGUAAUGGCUCUGCCCUCCUUCUCUUCAGUGUGCUGUUAAUGAGCUGUACAAAAGGUCAGGGGCUGAGCCUGCGCUGCUCAGUGGUGUGGCAGUGGUGUGGUCCUGUCCUCCUUCCCCUGCCACACUCCCCGCUGGCCACACAGGGUACCAGGCACCCAAAAAAGCAAUCAGUCACCUCAACGAUGCCAAAGGAGUCCUGUCCCAGCAGUGAUGAGCUCUGCAUCCCGUUCCCAGCGAGGUUUUGUCCAUCAUCCAGAUGUGUUAUAGGGGCACAGCUGGCAAAGGCUCCUGAGCUCUGCUGGUGCCGGUGACAGGAGGAUUAAUUGAAUUCCUUCAGCCCAGUGUGCUCGUGGCUGCCAGCAGAUGAACCCCAAACUGGCAGUGCUGCAGAGGCCAGCAUCACCCUGAAUGAGGACAUCUGUCCUGAGACAUCUUGGGGCACCCUGGGACAAAAAGGGACAGAACCACCAGCCAGGUCCAUGCAGGGACAGCAGGGGGAGGCUGGAGAGCUGGGGACAGGCUGCUCAGCAGGCAGGAGGGCUGGGGAACUCCAGGUGCUUCCAACAACAGGGGAAAAAGAAAUAAAAGGGAAAGAAAUGAAAGAGCA